CCUACGGGUGACAGCAGUGAGGAAUAUUGGUCAAUGGACGAGAGUCUGAACCAGCCAAGUAGCGUGAAGGAUGACUGCCCUAUGGGUUGUAAACUUCUUUUAUAAAGGAAUAAAACGAGGCACGUGUGCCUUUUUGCAUGUACUUUAUGAAUAAGGAUCGGCUAACUCCGGGCCAGCAGCCGCGGUAAUACGGAGGAUGCGAGCGUUAUCCGGAUUUAUUGGGUUUAAAGGGAGCGUAGAUGGGUUGUUAAGUCAGUUGUGAAAGUUUGCGGCUCAACCGUAAAAUUGCAAUUGAUACUGGCAGUCUUGAGUACAGUUGAGGUAAGCGGAAUUCGUGGUGUAGCGGUGAAAUGCUUAGAGAUCACGAAGAACCCCGAUUGCGAAGGCAGCUUACUAAACUGUGACUGACAUUGAUGCGCGAAAGUGUGGGGAUCAAACAGGAUUAGAUACCCCGGUAGUC
rnacentral:rRNA from 1 species